rnacentral:rRNA from 1 species
UACGUAGGGGGCAAGCGUUGUCCGGAAUUAUUGGGCGUAAAGAGCGUGUAGGCGGCCCGGUAAGUCCGCCGUGAAAGUCCAGGGCUCAACCCUGGAAUGCCGGUGGAAACUGCCGGGCUGGAGUCCGGAAGAGGCGAGUGGAAUUCCAGGUGUAGCGGUGAAAUGCGUAGAUAUCUGGAGGAACACCGGUGGCGAAGGCGGCAUCCUGGACCGGCAUUGACGCUGAGGCGCGAAAGCGUGGGGAGCGAACAGG